AAAUAAGAUUUAUCAUGAGAAGUCAGCCGAGGUCAUAGUACCAACGCAGUUGCAAUGAGUUGGGAAGGAC
rnacentral:ncRNA from 1 species